rnacentral:tRNA from 1 species
GGAGAGGUGGCCGAGCGGCUUAAGGCAACGGUUUGCUAAACCGUCGUACUCCGUAAAGGGGUACCGGGGGUUCGAAUCCCCCCCUCUCCG